rnacentral:rRNA from 1 species
UACAGAGGUCUCAAGCGUUGUUCGGAUUCAUUUGGCGUAAAGGGCGCGUAUGCUGCGGGGCAAGUCGGGUGUGAAAUCUCAGAGCUCAACUCUGAAACUGCACUCGAUACUGCUUUGCUUGAGGACUGGAGAGGAGAUUGGAAUUCACGGUGUAGCAGUGAAAUGCGUAGAUAUCGUGAGGAAGACCAGUGGCGAAGGCGGAUCUCUGGACAGUUCCUGACGCUGAGGCGCGAAGGCCAGGGGAGCAAACGGG